CAAACCAUAAUCUGAUGAAAUGAAGACAUGGGUGGUCUUCUCGCAUCUGCUUUCGACGGCGACGGUGACGCUCGAGUUUCUUCACCGUUACUGAAACGGAAUUCGUUAUGAUUUCUUGGUGUUUAAUCCCAUUAACUCUGACGCCCACUACAAGUUCUUCAAUGCGUGGUUUGCGUCGGCGAAGCUCUGUCAAUUCGGAUAUAAAUAUACCGGUCACUGCGCCUCCACCGUUCAAGUUCAGUUGCUCCUGUUCUGGGAGCCCAGUAACGUGCGACGCGGUGGUGAACUCAUGGGAGUGGAUACGCUCUUAGUGGAUUCACAGGUGGAGGGUCAAGGAUCUUGAAGGAGAAGAUGAUUUAAAGUCGGAGUUUAUCUGCCCGUUUUGUGCAUAUGUUUUUGACAAUGUCGGGCUUUGUUGUCACAUUAUUGAAGAGCAUCAUGUUAAGGCCAGGAACGAGUUUUUGGGGCCAAUACAAAUUGUCGUUUUUUGUGCUUAACUACAUCAGCGAAUUAAGGUUUUAAGGAGAACACAUGACUAUAAGAAAGAACUUGGGAUGCCGGAUGGAGUUCAUCAAUGGAAAGGGUCCUUACAAGUACAACAGUAGUGUACAUGAUGGAAUGGAUUACUCUUCCGUCCAUGUUGAACUCGGUAUAAGAGUUUUUCUAUCACUUUGUCUCAUGAGAUGGAUUACUCUUCCAUCCAUGUUGAACUCGGUAUAAGAGUUUUUCUAUCACUUUGUCUCAUGAGAUGGAUGUCUCUUCUAAUGUGACUUUCCCUUUGUGGGGAAAAUCUUCAAAGCUUGAAGAUCGCGUUGUUUACUCCCUCUUAACUUUAUUACUUUGACACCAUAGAAGUGAAUAGUGCAUUUGUGCACUAACAGAACUUACUAAUACAUGUGUUUAUUACAUAUUAAUACAUGUGUUUGUA